AUAUAUAUAUAUAUGCGUGUGUGACAUUAACAAUAAUAUUAACAUGAAGCCUAAGAGCCAACAGUGUUUCUAUAUGAGCUAUGAAGUCAGAGGUUAAUGUUUAAAUUAUCCUUUAUGACCUUGAUGAAUCCUUAAUGAUGAUGAGAGGGAAACAGCAGCUAAACCGGCUGUUUCCCUCUCAUCUGUAACCCUGGUUAAAUAACUAAAUAAGAUAUAGUUACUCACCUUGAAUGGUUAAAUAACAUUUUGUAGAUGCCACUAGCCUUCCAGCUUCACGGUCAUAUACUUCCAUUGAGUAUUCACCAUUGUCUGUCCUGUCGAUGUCCUUUACAGUAAAUAUUCCAGUCCUGACAUUAAAUGAAUAUCGAAUGUUUGCCUGAUGCCAUUCUGAUAAAAUCGUGACAUUGUUCUUCUUCAGUCUGAAGGCAUCAUCUUGUGAGGACUGAGUAAGCAUCUGGACCUCUACGGUUCCUCCCAGAGAGCCAAAGCACUGGGUCGUGAUGUGUGGCUGUGUGGCGUUGCAGAAGGUGUCCACACCUGGAGGUUUACAGAGGAGAAUAAAACCAUACAGGAGAUAUAUCUCAAUGAGAUUCACAGCCCACCACUCACUAUUACUGUAAUAACUGUCUUAUUACUGUAAGAGGGAUGGACAUUUUGAAUACAAUGGGUGUCAUUGCAGAGAGGGACAUUAUACUCAUAGAUGUUGAAGGUUCAAACAUUUAAUAUUUCAUUACAUUUUGGAUUUGAUUCACAUUAUUUCCCUAUUAUUGUCAUGAAAAUAACCUACUCUACCCUGAAUGCACUCGAUAAUAUGUGAUAAUACUUUUGUGUUCUGCAAUAACAAAGGAGAAGUUACAUUGUGGGG
ensembl:lncRNA